CUCGGGCUAGCCUUGGGCUUGCCAUGGACCUCCAUGCUUCCCUCAAGCCUGCACUCUCAGGCCCGGAUGCAGGAAAAAGGCUCGGGCGUGCUGGUUGCUUCCACCUCGUGGUCAUUGUGAACGCUGCUGCAAUGAACAUGGUGGUACAAAUAUCUCUUAGAGACCCUGCUUUUCAAUGCUUUGGGAUACAUACCCAGACAUGGGAUUACUGGAUAAUAGGCCUGCCAUUCCCAUAUCCUGCGCCCAUAAAAGGACCAGCUGACAGAGCAAUAUGAAUGGCUAAGUGUUGGGGAUACAAGAAGAGACUACAGAUAGCUGCGGCCAACUUCAGAUGGUGCGACUUCAGGGAAAGAUCACCUUCUUCCCCCACCAUCCCCUUUCCUAUUCCCCAUUCCACUGAGAGCCACAUCCAUUGCCCAAUAAAAUCCUCCACAUA
rnacentral:lncRNA from 1 species